AUCAGGAAUCUUGCGCAAUGGGGGCAACCCUGACGCAGCGACGUCGCGUGGAGGAAGACGGCCUUCGGGUUGUAAACUCCUUUUACCAGGGAAGAGCAAGGACGGUACCUGGUGAAUAAGCCCCGGCUAACUCCGUGCCAGCAGCCGCGGUAAUACGGAGGGGGCGAGCGUUGUCCGAAUUUAUUGGGCGUAAAGCGCGUGUAGGCGGAUAUCCAAGCCUGGGGUGAAAGGUUGGGGCUCAACCCCAUACAGUGCCCUGGGGACUGGGUGUCUGGAGGCAGGCAGAGGAGUGUGGAAUUCCUGGUGUAGCGGUGGAAUGCGUAGAGAUCAGGAAGAACACCCAUGGCGAAGGCAGCACUCUGGGCCUGUACUGACGCUGAGACGCGAAAGCGCGGGGAGCGAACGG
rnacentral:rRNA from 1 species